rnacentral:rRNA from 1 species
GAUGAACGCUGGCGGCGUGCUUAACACAUGCAAGUCGAACGAAGCACUUAAGAUUGAUUCUUCGGAUGACGUCUUUUGUGACUUAGUGGCGGACGGGUGAGUAACGCGUGGGUCACCUGCCUCACACAGGGGGAUAACAGUUAGAAAUGACUGCUAAUACCGCAUAACCCGAUAGGAUCGCAUGAUCCAGACGGAAAAGAUUUAUCGGUGUGAGAUGGACCCGCGUCUGAUUAGCUAGUUGGUGAGGUAACGGCCCACCAAGGCGACGAUCAGUAGCCGGCCUGAGAGGGUGAACGGCCACAUUGGGACUGAGACACGGCCCAAACUCCUACGGGAGGCAGCAGUGGGGAAUAUUGCACAAUGGGGGAAACCCUGAUGCAGCGACGCCGCGUGAGUGAAGAAGUAUUUCGGUAUGUAAAGCUCUAUCAGCAGGGAAGAAAAUGACGGUACCUGACGAAGAAGCCCCGGCUAACUACGUG